AACCACCUAAAUGAUUUAUUUUUACAUGUAAUUUGCUAAUAAAACACCAAACUGUCUUAGUUUCGUAAAGAAUUUAAAACUAUGUAAAACCAACAUCAGACUGCCAAAAAGUACAAGAGUUCUUAAAUGUGAAUAUUUUUAAAUGUAUUUACAUAAUUAGCAGACAUUAGUAUAAAUGUGGAAUGCUGUAUAUUGCCUUAAUUCUUACGUAAUCAAAUCCUUUCGUUCAUUCUAAAUAUUGCUUGCUAUGAGUUCUUUGUUUUUUAUUUUGCCCCAUAUCAUCAAAAUCAAGAGCUGCUGAGGGUCUCCAGUUAUCAGUUGAUAUUUUAGCUUUUAUUUUACAUUUCCUUUGGCACAUUUUUCCCAAAACGUGUUUGUUGUUGGACUACAGGACUAGAACCGUAAAGGACUACAAUUGCAAAUUUGUUUGGACCAAUCAAAGUCUUCAGUUUCAACUUGCUAACGUAACGUUUACGAACAUGGUAUCGUAACUUCCAUAAGUUCUAUGUUCAGCCAAUCAUCUAGUGUGAUGUGAAAAUAUAUAUCUCUCAUAUAAGCUCUUUCAUAUAUUAUUAUAAGCUCUUUUAUAUGAACAAAUAUGUAUCUCUCACUUAUGCUCCUUAUAUAUUAUCAUAAAUACAUUAUUAUAUGCCUUUUCAUGGAAUCUUGUUAUAAUAUCGAAAACCUCUCUGUGCCUUUUCUGCUCAAGCUGAACAGCUGCAUAAGGGAGUGAAAGCGUUCCUUCCUUCAGUUCCUCAAUACAAGAACAACUGUCUUUGUUAGCAAAGGAUGUUGCAGGAUGUGUCCUGAUCAUCUCAAGGUUGCAUGUCCUUGGGAUGAAUUGGUCUUUCAUUAACAAGGCUAUUAGCUGACGUGCGUCUGCAGGUGCAGAUGGCAGAAUUACGUGUGUGUAUGGCAAACUACGUAUGUAACAUUCCUGUAAUCUUCAAUAAAAAUCAGCCGUUUUCAGCAGAACGGCGAGAGUCUGUCCGAAGCAUCUGGCAAGAGCAGGUCGCGGGACUUGCUGCAGAGACUCUCCCCCUCAUGAGCGGCGAAACAGUGAAUGGACUUCUGAUCAUUUGUCUCCUCGUUCUGUCAACUUAAAAGGUGUUUAACUCCAUCUACUCCGUACCCGUGCUUGGUCUAACGGAAGAGAGACCAACAAAUUUGGCGUCACGAACAGGAUUUUUUCUUUUUGAAGAAAAAGGAGUUUUUGGAGGACAAUUUGACCAACCGACCCAGUGAACGAUCUUGGCACAGAACACCGCGGUGGAAAACAAGGUGAGCAGAACCUUAUUUUCUAAAAUCUGCUCAUUGGAUUUAUCCAAAGCCUUUUGUGUCCGGAAUCAUAGUAGCUGAGGUCCUAAAAUAAUAGUUGGAGAAGAAAGUGGAGACAAGUGCAGAAAGAAUAAGAGAUUUUUUGUAAUGGUUUAAUGGUGAAAUGAAAUGAGGAUUUUUCUAAUGGUUUAAUGAGUAAAUGAGAAAAGGAAAUAGUACAGAUGAAGGGAUGGUGACCCAGGGCUAAUAGAGUAGCCCUAAAGUUCCAUUUCCAGGUCGUGGCUGACCACACUAUUUGCUGACGAGCGGAUAGAAUAUAUAACAAGGUUAUAUAAAGCUUGGCUGGAUCCAUAGGUGUGGGAACCCUAAAAGUCCACAGGUCAAGGACCUGGUUUUUUUGUGUUAAGGGAAGGGGAGGCUAAAAGAGAGCUCCCUGGAUUUUAAGGUCGAGGACCUUUUGCAUGAGAUGAGAAAAAUGUUCUGAGGUAACUGAUUUUGCAUAAGAUGAUAAAUGUUUUGACUGCUUCUGUGUGAAGAGAGCAGUGCUUUUGGCUAUUUCUGCGUGCUUUUGGCUGUUUUUGCAUAAAAUGAGCAAUGUUUAAAUAUGACAAGCAGCCCAGUUGAAGCCACGAGAAAUAAGGUUUUAUUGAGAAAGUCAGCGGAAGAGGCGAUGAAGAAAAAAGGGGUAGAUGUUAACAGUAGAGGUAACUGGAGAAAGAUUUGGGAAGUGAAGGCUGCAGAAUCAAGAGAAAAAAGGCACAGCUGUAGACAAGCUUCACUGUGUGUGUAAGCUGAGUUCAGCCUGUGUGUGUGAGGCGCAGCAAGAGGCUGCUUACGGCUCUGGAUUGAAAGUGCAGCACUAGGAGAGUGCAGAAUGCAGAGCAGAGUUUUGGGAGCUCCGUGUGUGUGUGUAUGUGAGUGUACAGCGCUGGGUGUGUGUGUGAAGGCCUGAUGCGGUACCAGAAAAUAAAUAAAUAAGAUAAAUAAGAGCUUUAAAAAGUUGCAACUUGUAUAUGUAAAUUACACUGCAGUGCUAAAAUUAAUGUUUGGAGCUACGCAAAAUUCAAAUUCUGCAACCCUGUUCUGAUCAGUCUUUGAACAGAACACCAUAAGUUAAUAAAUAAAAGGUUUUUAAAGUAACAUAUGCAUAUGUAUGUGUGUAUGUAUGUAUAUGUGUAUACAUAUAUAUACAUAUGUAGUGUAGAAGCGUGAUAAUCAUUUGUGUGUGGGGCAGCAUGUGAGUGACCCCGAUCUGGGGGUUAAGUGACCUGGAGAUGAAAAAAGGGAAAAAACCACCAAGAAACGCAAGUAAGGAUGUAAAUGACAGCUUUAUUUUAGAAAUAUAGUCAUAUAGCUGCUAAACAGUAAAAUCAAAACAGAUCUGCAGAAAAUAAAUAUAUAAACUAUUCCUCAGAGCGCUCUCAAAAAAAUUGCAAUUGGAUUUGCUCUAAUGUUACAUAAGGCCUGCUUAAAAGCAUAGUAAGCAUUAAAUUCUGAAAAUAACCAGUGCAGUGUUAAAUAAAUUCUGUGCUUAAAAUAUUAUAUAUAUAUAUAUAGAGAGAGAAUAAAUAAGUGACGAACUGACUUACCUUAAAAAAAUAAUAAUAAUAAUAAAAAGAGACUGUGACAAACAAAGAAUGUCUCUGUGCUUUGUGAAUGAGUGAAUGUGUGUCUUCUUGCAUGAGCUGCUUUCGCUGGAUCUUCUGAAUGACUCAGUUUUUAAUAGAGGGAGCAGCUGCUUGAGAAACAGGGUGCGGUCCAUGUUUUUACUAGACGGUUAUUUAGUUCGAGAGACUGUGGAAACAAUAGAAAAAGAAUUUAUCGUUAGUGUGAGGACAAGAAAAUCCUUUAAAAUACAAAAGUUGUAUGGUCGUGGUUAUAAAGGAAGUAUUUUGUCUGAUUAUGGGCCGUGGAGUCAGCUGGACUCCCUCGCUCUCACAGUUUUUCUGUGUAACAUGCAGUUUUAAGCAAUUUGUGACUUUAGAAAGGAUAUUUUUCGGUGUUUUGGACGUACCUUAGGGCUUCUGGUUAGGGUAUUCAGGAGAUCCUUCCUCUCGGACAGAUCUAGUGAGAAUGACUGGAGUUUCAGCCUGGGGACCUGGCUCCACCCACUUUUACACACAGGAGUCCCGCAGUCUAAAAAUAGCACAGGGUACUGCGAAAAGCAGCUCUGAACCUCUCAGGAUCAUCUUUAUGAAAACCAUAAAAUUAACAAAUAAUCAGUCAGGAAAUAAAAUAUUUGUUAAAUCUUGCUAUAAAACAAAAUCCAAUAAUUGUCUUGCCUCAACUUUAAGAACCAUUAACGUUAAUGGCUGGAUUUUGGGACGCUGAAUAAUGAAAAAACAGAUAAACUAAGUAUUAUUUCCUGUAACCUGGCUAGAAACUGUACUAGGCUGUUUUGAGUUAAAAACUGGUAGUUAUUUUCCCAAAAUAAAAUAGAUAAACAAAAAAUGAAAGGAGGGAUCUUGCAUUUGGGAUAGAUUGUGCCUAAAGUUUAAAACCUGUGUAGAACCGACUUGACGAUUCAGAAAAAUUGUGCAUAGGAAGUAGUCUAGAUUUACCUUUGAGUCAAUAAAGUCGACUAAAUAUUAGAAACCAUCGUUGAUUUUGAUUUGUAAAAGAGAAAGUUCUGUCAUUUUAACUCAAUCAACAUAUUUAAGGAAAACGUUUGCUGUGCAUUGUGGCAGGCAUGAACUUUACUGGGUGGGCCUGUCACAACCAGCUGCAAAGAAUGUUUGGCUCUGACUUCUAUACAAAGAGAACCUGGAAGCCCUCACCAAAGAGAACCUGGAAGCCCUCACCAAAAGCUGUGACUCAUAACAUAAAGACGGGGAGCACUACAAGAUGGACAAAGAGGCAGAAACUUAUUUGCCCUGCUGCUGAUGAAACAAAGUACAAAAGGGGGAGCAUGUGUGCUAACAUGUGAACUUUAAUCAAUGACGGUGGUCAUCCUGGACUUACAAAGAAAGGCUCAAAAGAGACUGUUUCCCAUGGUUACACCCAGUAAAAGAGUGCUUGCUGCAGUCAGGUAAUGAACAAGGCUUUUUGGCAACAACCAGUUGAAUUGAUGAAAUGUCAGAACUGUGGAAAAUUUACUAAACUACUGUAGAACAUAGUUAACUGAGAAAGUUAGCCUAAAAAAAGAUAAUAAUAAUAUCAAUAAAUAAAUAAAUAAUAGGAUUAGUAACCUGGAUUUCAGCCCAACUCACCAUUGGACGUCAAUAUAAUCUUUAUUGUCUUAGGAUUCUCAGCUGCAGCGGACAUGCAGUAAAGCCUUAUUUUCUUUUCAAAAAGUCAUUCAUCGGCGUCAUCACUUAUCUUCAUUAGUUAAGGAAACGGUGUCUAUUUAUAAGUCUAGGAGAACGCUUUAGGCUUCAACAGUUUUCUCCUUCGAGCAAACAUGCGCAAAUUUCCGGACAGUUUAUAGUAACGUUCCAUCCCAUUCCAUUCAUUGCAUAAAAAAUAAACAUUAAAUGAAUAAUUUGGCAUCCAGCUGACUAAAUGAUUCAUGGAACAUCUCAUCCGAGACAAUAGUGAGGUAGAAAAUAGUGUUACAAAAAUAUUGAAUAAUGGUACCCCUCAUUCGAUAAAAAUUAUGUUCACAUUUUUAUCUUGUGAAAUCUUUAACAUAAUAUUUUAAUUGGCCUUUUUGACGACAAUUGGCUAAAAAGUCUUUAAGAUUAUCAUCACAGGAUGGCAUGAUAAAUAAGUAAAUAACAUAAAUAAAUAAAUAGACAAAAAUAAGAGAGAAAAAGCAAAAUUAAUUAAAUGAAACGUAAUAGUGAUAAAAAGUUAAAUUGAUCUAAAAUCUGUCAUUCAGUGCCACUGGAAAAAGGAAGAGGAUAGGGGAGUAUUUCUUAGCACAAAUCAUGUUAUUGAUUUAGCAAUGCAGCUUAAUUUCAGAUGCUUUAAGGAUGAUACUAACUUGUGUUAUAGAUGGAGGAGUAGCACAGAAACACUUCUAGAUGAGGAGAUAAGGAAAAAACUGCUGAUUACCAAUACUAUGCACAAACAAACCUGUAACUGCAGUUUCGUUAUUUAUGAAUUAACCUUAAGUAGUGAAUUAAUUCUUAGGAUUUCUUGUGCGAGUAGUGUUCCUAAAAAAGAAAGAAAGAAAGAAAGAAAGAAGGUAAGAAAGACAGGUAGUUUAGGUAAGGGACAACCUGAAACUAUUUGGUUGAAUUGAUAGUAAAAGUGGUUGUCCUAAUUUUUAAUUGGAGAGAUCACACCGCAACAUGAGUUUAGAACGGCAGUUAUGGGAAGUUUUGUUGGAUUAAUUUGAUUACACGCCUUAGGUCCUAUUUUUUCUUUCCACUGAUUUAGCGUUAGGUUAAGUGUUUUCACACUUUCGCUUCAGUCUGACAUUUGCUUGGUGUGUGAGGGCACAGAGACGUGUAUGGACCGUGUGUUUGACUGUGUUUGUCUUGUUUGUUUGUUUAUUUAUCUAUAUGGGCAUGGCCGAGCCUUGAGAAACAUCAACAAAGACAUUGGACUAUUCUGAGUAAAUUAACCAAUUCAAAUUCAACUUCAGGAUCCUGAAACAAUUUGGCUAUAACCUCUAAUUGAUGAAGGACAUCUUAAGAAUUCAUUAUACAAGGAUUCCUCUCCAGUGUUGCCGGAACUGUUAUAAAACCCAUGCAUGGUUGUAUAUUUUAGUUUGAUCAUUUAUACUCAUUGAAUUAUUGUUGUUUGCUUUAUGUUUUAAUUUCUUUGCAAUUUUUUCUCUGUGACACAGGUGGAGAUGCUGGUGGCAAAAUGGAUCCCACACAUUUCUUUCUCCCACACACAUUCUUACUCUCUCCCUCUCUCUCUGUGUAUGUGCAUGUGUAUGUGUUUGUGUGUCUGUGUGUCCAUGUCGUGAUGUCACUGUACCUUUAAUUGCGCUUGCUGUUCGUAACUGUAUGUGUCUGAUGUUGAAGGUAUCAGAGGCUAGGGUCAGUAAGAGCUAGGACAUUUUUGUGCAUAACCUCUAAUCCCUAGGCGAUCGGUCCGGGGAACUUCUGGUCCGGCCGGAGUGUGAAUCUUCCUACCAACUAUCUGCCGAGAUCAAGGACUGCACAAGCCGAGAAAGCCUUCAUUGGACCAAAACCACACAUGAAGAUACUUCGCCUUCGGUGCCAGGCGUCGUCUGGGUCCUGCUGAAGGUCACCAAAAGAAAGUGGACGGAACCGAGGUGGACCGAGCCAUACAGGAUCACGGAGAGGACGUCACACGCUGUCCGGCUGGACGGGAGGAGCCUAACCUGGAAGAGAAGCAGCCGACAUCUGCCUGACCAGAAAAAGUACCCAAGGACCAGGAAGAGAAGCAGCUGACAUCUGCCUAACCAGAGAAAGGAUCCAAAAAACCAGGAAGAGAAGUAGCUGACUACAGUAGCAUGCCAAGCUGCCACCACAUCCUGCAGGACGAGAAUCUUGACAUCAUCACCCCCUGCAGCUGCCUGGAGCCAGUGAAGGGUCCUCAACAGGGGGAAGAAGUAACCACCCUAUGAACAUUCUACAAGGGUUGUAUUUAACACCCUCAUUUAUUUUACAAGGGUAAUAUUUUACACCCUCCACCUGCUGACCCAAUUAUCCAGAUGCCCUUGUUACUAGCCAAUCCUAACAUCUAUUUGGGAGGGGAACUCUCUGAUGAUAGUGAUGACUCUCAUGAUGAAGAAGAUGUUGUUAGAGUGUGAGAAUGUUCAGUGAUUUAUGUAACCAUCCCUUCACCAGUUCAUUUUUAUGAUUUUUUUGUUUGUUUUGUUUUAUUUUUUGUUGAUCAUUGAUGUCCUAGGCAUGCACACUCUAUGCCAACAGGUGUUCGCCCCAAAAUUGAGAUAUGACAAAUGGGGGGACAUGGGGGAAUUUUCCCUAUAAACAUAUGAUAAUUAGGGUUUUUCGCCCUCAUAUGGAGUUGCAUGCGAUCCAUACAUGUUGUAACAUGUUCAGUUAAAAAUAUGAUCAUGUUUUUUUUGUAUUAGUUUACUGCUGGAAAUAUGAGAAGCUGUAACCUGAUUGAUUGUUUGUAUUUGUAUUUUAAAACUUUGCUUAUUGGAUUCUUUUUGAUGGAAUUUGGUGUUAUUGUUUUGAUUUCUUAUAUCUUUAUUGAACUCUUAAAAGAGUUCAAAAGGGGGAUUGAAAAUAUAUAUCUCUCAUAUAAGCUCUUUCAUAUAUUAUUAUAAGCUCUUUUAUAUGAACAAAUAUGUAUCUCUCACUUAUGCUCCUUAUAUAUUAUCAUAAAUACAUUAUUAUAUGCCUUUUCAUGGAAUCUUGUUAUAAUAUCGAAAACCUCUCUGUGCCUUUUCUGCUCAAGCUGAACAGCUGCAUAAGGGAGUGAAAGCGUUCCUUCCUUCAGUUCCUCAAUACAAGAACAACUGUCUUUGUUAGCAAAGGAUGUUGCAGGAUGUGUCCUGAUCAUCUCAAGGUUGCAUGUCCUUGGGAUGAAUUGGUCUUUCAUUAACAAGGCUAUUAGCUGACGUGCGUCUGCAGGUGCAGAUGGCAGAAUUACGUGUGUGUAUGGCAAACUACGUAUGUAACAUUCCUGUAAUCUUCAAUAAAAAUCAGCCGUUUUCAGCAGAACGGCGAGAGUCUGUCCGAAGCAUCUGGCAAGAGCAGGUCGCGGGACUUGCUGCAGAGACUCUCCCCCUCAUGAGCGGCGAAACA